UAAGGAAUAUUGGUCAAUGGACGCAAGUCUGAACCAGCCAUGCCGCGUGGAGGAUGAAGGCCCUCUGGGUUGUAAACUUCUUUUAUAGGGGACGAAACCUCUUUUUCUUGAGAGACUGACGGUACCCUAGGAAUAAGCACCGGCUAACUCCGUGCCAGCAGCCGCGGUAAUACGGAGGGUGCAAGCGUUAUCCGGAUUCACUGGGUUUAAAGGGUGCGUAGGCGGGCAGGUAAGUCAGUGGUGAAAUCUCCGGGCUUAACUCGGAAACUGCCGUUGAUACUAUCUGUCUUGAAUUCUGUGGAGGUGAGCGGAAUAUGUCAUGUAGCGGUGAAAUGCUUAGAUAUGACAUAGAACACCAAUUGCGAAGGCAGCUCACUACACAGCGAUUGACGCUGAGGCA
rnacentral:rRNA from 1 species